ACCCGCAAUGGAAAAGAGACCAGGUUCCGCUGCCGCAUAUGAAAGGGUAGUGUACAAAAAUCCCUCCGAAUACCACUACCUGAAGGUCUGCCUAGAAUUUCAAGAACAUGGAAUUAGACUGAACGCUGCACAGUUCAAACAUUUGCUUAUUACAGCUUUAAAGGACCUGUUUGAAGAGGCUGGUGCUGCCUUACCCUUGGACGUCCUGAGCUAUGAAGAGAAGACCUUCUCAGCCAUCUUGAGAAUAUCUAGCAGUGGUCUUGUCAAAUUGUGGAGUUCUUUGACCCUGUUAGGAACCUAUCAAGGCAAAAAAAUGUGCUUUUAGAGUGAUUCAGGUUUCUCCGUUUCUUCUUGCUUUAUCUGAUAACAGUAGGGAGCUUGUAUUGGACUGA